CCUACGGGGGGCAGCAGUGAGGAAUAUUGGUCAAUGGACGAGAGUCUGAACCAGCCAAGUAGCGUGAAGGAUGACUGCCCUAUGGGUUGUAAACUUCUUUUAUAAAGGAAUAAAACGAGGCACGUGUGCCUUUUUGCAUGUACUUUAUGAAUAAGGAUCGUCUAACUCCGUGCCAGCAGCCGCGGUAAUACGGAGGAUCCGAGCGUUAUCCGGAUUUAUUGGUUUUAAAGGGAGCGUAGAUGGGUUGGUGAGUUAGUUGUGAAAGUUUGCGGCUCAACCGUAAAAUUGCAAUUGAUACUGGCAGUCUUGAGUAAAGUUGAGGUAAGCGGAAUGCGAGGUGUAGCGGUGAAAUGCUUAGAUAUCACGAAGAACCCCGAUUGCGAAGGCAGCUUACUAAGCUGAGACUGACAUUGAUGCACGAAAGUGUGGGUAUCAAACAGGAUUAGAUACCCGAGUAGUC
rnacentral:rRNA from 1 species